AGGAGAGACUGAACAAUAAAAUCUAAAACAAAUGGAUCAGCAAUGAAUUCCUGUUGGUUUCUUUCUAUGCCAAGAAGCCUCGGCCAUUCAAUUGCACAAAUAACUAUCAAGCAUCCUUCCUAAACAAGAGUUAUGCUAGCGGCAAUAGAGAUUGCCCAGAUGAAUAAACAUCGUUUCUGUUUUCACAGUACUUGCUCUCUAGGAUGGGGAUAAAAGAUAGAAUAACAAGAAGGCAUCACAGAGUAUAGUUGCCUGAUGAGAGAAAUACACAGUGCUGUGGAUGCGGCAUAGAGACAGGGAUCCCAUCCUGUUGAAAAAAAAGAGGAAAACCUGCUUAGGAAAGAUUAUAGAACUCUCUGUGCCUUUGAUUUUAUCAUCAUUUUCAUUGUGGCAGAGACCGGCUUGGGCUUCGUCUACCCUGUUUGCUCUUCUUCCUGGACACAGAGCUACAUUGCCUUUCACAGCUUCCCUGGCAUGUAGGCUUGACGGCAGAGCAGCAGGGCAAUUUUGGAAGCUACAUGGUCAAGGUAGUGGAGUUAUAAGUUGGAAGGAGUCUGGGGUAGAGAAGAAUUCUGUGCUGAUCAGGAACAUGCAUUUCAGACUCAAUGUGAGUGAAAACUAGACUUCAAUGGUGAUGUGAAAGCAAUUAUAUAUUUUUGGAAUUGUUUGUUCUCUUAAUUACAAUGCCCACUUAUCUCUAUUUACUGUGAUUAUAAUGAGAAUCCUU